rnacentral:rRNA from 1 species
GACGAACGCUGGCGGCGUGCUUAACACAUGCAAGUCGAACGAUGGAGAAGAGAAACGCGAACUUCGGUUCAACUUUCACUUCGGAUUAGUGGCAGACGGGUGAGUAACGCGUGAGCAACCUACCUCUUACAAAGGGAUAGCCUCGGGAAACCGUGAUUAAUACCAUAUGACACAUUCAUAAGGCAUCUUAAGAAUGUUAAAGCUACGGCGGUAAGAGAUGGGCUCGCGUCCCAUUAGCUAGUUGGUGAGGUAACGGCCCACCAAGGCGACGAUGGGUAACCGGCCUGAGAGGGUGAACGGUCACAUUGGAACUGAGACACGGUCCAAACUCCUACGGGAGGCAGCAGUGGGGAAUAUUGCACAAUGGAGGGAACUCUGAUGCAGCGACGCCGCGUGAGCGAUGAAGGAAUUCGUUUCGUAAAGCUCUGUUCUAUGGGAAGAAAAGGACUGUACCAUAGGAGAAAGCCCCGGCUAAAUACGUG